CGGCCCACCCUAUUGACACUCGUUUCGUGAACGCGCCAAUAUACGUCGUGUGCGAAAUAGCUUGUUCCGCUUCAGCUCUUAUCUUCAACAUAUCAGCGAGUGGCAUUAUAACUUGUAAACCAGGUUAUGAGUACCUUCACCUUCAUGCACACCAUCUAUGUGAACCCUGUACACCUGUGCAAUGCAAUGUAACUGCUAUUGCUAAUGGUACUUUUGACAGGGCGGUCAUAAACUUCAGAGAAACCGUUACCUAUUCUUGUGCGGUGGAUCAAGGGAUUGUGGGCGAUGCCACGCCAACUUGCCAGGCUGAC